CCGCCACCCUGAGGCGCGGGUGUCAUCCUAGUUGUGGCUGCAGUGUGCGUUUUCCAGCCUUCCGUUGGUACCAGAAAAUGGCAGUUGUCCGUCCUUCUCCAACCUUGCUUGUCGUUCCUGAGGUGAUCUGCGGAGAGAUCAUCUGCGGAGAGAUCCGGAGGUGAUCUCUCAGUUUUGCCCUCUCUGUCUGCACGGGGCAUGCUGCGUGGUCCGCACUGCAGCGGUUGUCAGCAACGCGGGAGGACUGGAUAAACCCCAGCAGACAAAGCUGUCGUUUGUGAAAUAGAACUCCACCUCUAACCUGUUUCUUUCAAGAUUGUGCUAGCAUAGAGAACCCUGCGUCACCUCUUCCCCUAAUCUGCAGCCGAUGUAUGUUCUUCAAAAACACCUCACAACUUUUUCACCGUACAUGAGGAGGCCGUGACCGGGAGCCUCGAGCCUGAGCAUUGCCUCCAAGCUGCUGUCCCUCCCCGGCUGUGCCCGUCUCUCCCUCGGGCCGUCCUCCCGCCGCCCAGGUGCUCCGAAGGCCACCCAUAAAUAGUCGCAGGCUGCAACUGCGUGUGCUGGAACUUGGGCAGAAAACACAUGUAGCAGUUACAUGACUGGGGAACCGAUCAAUCCGUGCCUGCAGCCUCUCUCUAAGUUUGCCAAAUAUCCUUGAGGUCUGUCUAACCAUCCCCUACAAAAUAAA